rnacentral:lncRNA from 1 species
GGAUUUCAACAUGUGUAUUUUGUUGGGGGUGGGGGGAUAGGGGGACACAACAUCUAGUAUAUAGCAUAGCCUCAUGUGAACAGCAUAGCUGGAGAAUAAGGUAUAUUGAGAAAGAGAGGACAGAUGUGAAGGGAUCUGCUUAGGAAGGAUCUCGAGUGUCAUGAUUUUAUCUUUUAGGUAAUGGUGAGUUAUUCAAAGUUUCUUAGGAAAGAAGGGUAAGAUGUUACCAGAGGAGUAGAAUUAAUAGACAUUUCCAUAGAAUUAAAUAAGGUGAUUAAGUAGAAAAGGAAAUAAGGGGGAAAUUUUCUGCAGAUUUGUAGAAAUUCUCUUAGACUGUCUUCAACUCAGUUACAUGACUACUCCACUCGGCAAUUGUUCUUGUCUUACUGAGGUGCCCUACUAUGACAAACUAAGCAUGUUCCUUUACUCCCUAGUCUACUUGUUACUUGGAAUCUAAAAGUCACAGGCUCUAGAAGAUACUCAAUGCACACAUUUCCUGUUAGUAAACGGGAUCCACUUUGUUUAUCCACGAGCAAGAUUUCCACUUAAGUAUUUUAUAAAUGAGAAGUAUUUGUUAGAAUAGGAGUGGGGUUCAUUGUUGGAGAACAUUGGAAUCCUUUUUCAAUGACCGUGAAUAGGUCAGGAAGAUUUUGGUGGCAAAUAAUUGAAAACCUCACACAACUAGCUUAAAUGGUAAGGAAUUUUAAUGAUACUUGUAACUGGAAGGGUCAGGAGGAAGGCUGGGUACUGCCCUGACUUAAUCCAGUGGCUCUGGACCCAUGUAUCUGGUUCCUCUUGGCUCUGCUUUCUUCUCAGGCCUGUAGUGACACUGCUCCGGAUUUCACCUCAAUGCCUAACAUUAUCCAGAAGAGAAAGAAUCUAUUCAGGAGGAGAAACAACUUUUCUAGAAGUCUCCUGCAAUGAUCUGCCCACUAGAAAGGUCCAAUUUUCAAGCUUUUUCUCUGGGAAAUGAAAUACAAAGAACCUUGUGGACCAUCUAUAGCCCUCACAUGCCAUGAGGCUGGAGAGAAUGGAGGGAAAGCAAGAGGACCUUGGCCUGACCCAGUAAGGAGCUGGGUGGUUUUGUAAUUCCAUGGGAUUCACCAUGCUCUUUCCCAGGCUGGGCUCCUGAAUUACUUGCUCUUAUACUUUUUUUUUUUCUUACGAUUUUAUUUAGUUGAGAGAGUGGGAGGGAGAAGGAGAGAGAUUUUGAAGCAGACUCCAAGCUGAGCACAGAGCUGAACGUGGGGGUUCAGUGCCAUGACUGCAAGACCGUUCCUGAUCUGAGCCAAAACCAAGAUCGGCCGCUCAACUGACUGAGCCACUCAGAUGCCCUCUUAUACUUUAUUUUCAAAUUGACCAACUUCCUUCUCAGUGGAAAAAUAGAAUAUUUUUUCCUUAAUAUAUGGGUCUUCUUUGCUUUCCCUCCUGAGUUCAAGAACUUGGCUAGUGCAAAGGUUUUUCUGGAGUAGGCUUUAAACACCAGAAUUGCUGCAGUCCUGCUGGAUACAAUGGAUUUCUCCAUUUGGCAGGACCCAAGUGGGGCAGCCCAGAUCCACCUGGAUGUUAGAAGCUGCAGGACUGAGAGGCCAGGGUCACCUGUCCACUGGACCCCUUGGCAGGAUUUUCAAAGCACAAGGUUUCUUUGUUUCUUGUCUAUCUCCCCACAAGGGUAAAG